UGCAGUCGAGCGAUGGAUUAAGAGCUUGCUCUUAUGAAGUUAGCGGCGGACGGGUGAGUAACACGUGGGUAACCUGCCCAUAAGACUGGGAUAACUCCGGGAAACCGGGGCUAAUACCGGAUAAYAUUUUGAACYGCAUGGUUCGAAAUUGAAAGGCGGCUUCGGCUGUCACUUAUGGAUGGACCCGCGUCGCAUUAGCUAGUUGGUGAGGUAACGGCUCACCAAGGCAACGAUGCGUAGCCGACCUGAGAGGGUGAUCGGCCACACUGGGACUGAGACACGGCCCAGACUCCUACGGGAGGCAGCAGUAGGGAAUCUUCCGCAAUGGACGAAAGUCUGACGGAGCAACGCCGCGUGAGUGAUGAAGGCUUUCGGGUCGUAAAACUCUGUUGUUAGGGAAGAACAAGUGCUAGUUGAAUAAGCUGGCACCUUGACGGUACCUAACCAGAAAGCCACGGCUAACUACGUGCCAGCAGCCGCGGUAAUACGUAGGUGGCAAGCGUUAUCCGGAAUUAUUGGGCGUAAAGCGCGCGCAGGUGGUUUCUUAAGUCUGAUGUGA
rnacentral:rRNA from 1 species